rnacentral:lncRNA from 1 species
AUUACAAAAAUGAAAAACACACACUGAAAAUUGAAAAUUACACACUGAGAAUUGAAAAUUACACACUGAGAUUUCAAAAAGACACACUGAGAAUAAAUAAACUGAAAAUACACACUGAGAAUUUGAAAUAACACACUGAGAAUUUAAAUUUACACACUGAGAUUUGUGCGCACUUUUUAUGCGCACAUAUCUAAUUAGCAUACUUAAUCUGAAUCUAUUACAAGCUUAACAGAACUAGGGGAUAGAACUCGUAAGUCCUUCGAUUUGGUUCCAAAUUAUUUAUAAAAAAACCUUUAGAAAUACAAGAACAAAAA